AGGGGCAGCUGCUUGUGUAUCGUCACCUCU
rnacentral:piRNA from 1 species